AACGAACGCUGGCGGCAGGCUUAACACAUGCAAGUCGAACGCCCCGCAAGGGGAGUGGCAGACGGGUGAGUAACGCGUGGGAACAUACCCUUUUCUACGGAAUAGCUCUGGGAAACUGGAAUUAAUACCGUAUACGCCGUACGGGGGAAAGACUUAUCGGGGAAGGAUUGGCCCGCGUUGGAUUAGCUAGUUGGUGGGGUAAAGGCCUACCAAGGCGACGAUCCAUAGCUGGUCUGAGAGGAUGAUCAGCCACAUUGGGACUGAGACACGGCCCAAACUCCUACGGGAGGCAGCAGUGGGGAAUAUUGGACAAUGGGCGCAAGCCUGAUCCAGCCAUGCCGCGUGAGUGAUGAAGGCCUUAGGGUUGUAAAGCUCUUUCACCGAUGAAGAUAAUGACGGUAGUCGGAGAAGAAGCCCCGGCUAACUUCGUGCCAGCAGCCGCAGUAA
rnacentral:rRNA from 1 species